rnacentral:rRNA from 1 species
CUGGCGGCGUGCCUAACACAUGCAAGUCGAGCGAGGAGAUCCUUCGGGAUGAUCCUAGCGGCGGACGGGUGAGUAACACGUGGGCAACCUGCCUCAUAGAGAGGAAUAGCCUUCCGAAAGGAGAUUAAUACCUCAUAACAUUGCAGUUUCGCAUGGAACAGCAAUUAAAGGAGUAAUCCGCUAUGAGAUGGGCCCGCGGCGCAUUAGCUAGUUGGUGAGGUAACGGCUCACCAAGGCGACGAUGCGUAGCCGACCUGAGAGGGUGAUCGGCCACAUUGGGACUGAGACACGGCCCAGACUCCUACGGGAGGCAGCAGUGGGGAAUAUUGCACAAUGGGGGAAACCCUGAUGCCAGCAACGCCGCGUGAGUGAUGACGGCCUUCGGGUUGUAAAGCUCUGUCUUCAGGGACGAUAAUGACGGUACCUGAGGAGGAAGCCACGGCUAACUACGUGCCAGCCGCCGC